UACGAAGGGGGGCUAGCGUUGCUCGGAAUCACUGGGCGUAAAGCGCACGUAGGCGGCUUCUUAAGUCAGGGGUGAAAUCCUGGAGCUCAACUCCAGAACUGCCUUUGAUACUGGCGAUCUUGAGUCCGGGAGAGGUGAGUGGAACUGCGAGUGUAGAGGUGAAAUUCGUAGAUAUUCGCAAGAACACCAGUGGCGAAGGCGGCUCACUGGCCCGGUACUGACGCUGAGGUGCGAAAGCGUGGGGAGCAAACAGG
rnacentral:rRNA from 1 species